AGGACGAACGCUGGCGGCGUGCUUAACACAUGCAAGUCGAGCGGAAAGGCCCUUCGGGGUACUCGAGCGGCGAACGGGUGAGUAACACGUGAGUAAUCUGCCCCUAGCUCUGGGAUAGCUCCGGGAAACCGGGAUUAAUACCAGAUACGACCACUUUAGACAUCUGUUGUGGUGGAAAGAAUUUUGGCUAGGGAUGAGCUCGCGGCCUAUCAGCUUGUUGGUGAGGUAACGGCUCACCAAGGCGACGACGGGUAGCCGGCCUGAGAGGGCGACCGGCCACACUGGGACUGAGACACGGCCCAGACUCCUACGGGAGGCAGCAGUGGGGAAUAUUGCGCAAUGGGCGAAAGCCUGACGCAGCGACGCCGCGUGGGGGAUGAAGGCCUUCGGGUUGUAAACCCUUUCAGCAGGGACGAAGCGAAAGUGACGGUACCUGCAGAAGAAGCGCCGGCUAACUACGUGCCAGUAGCCGC
rnacentral:rRNA from 1 species